AGGUGUGAUCAUACCAACACUAAUGCUCUAGAUCCCAUCAGAACUCCAUAAUUAUGCGUGCUUGGGCGAGAGUAGUACUAGGAUGGGUGACAUCCUGAGAUGUCCUUGUGUUGCACUUC
rnacentral:rRNA from 2 species